UUUAUCCUCUGAUCCUCCAGCAUGGGACCGGACAUACCUGAUCGAGUUGAUACACCACAACUUAUUUGUCACGAAAUGAGCCACCCUGAGCGGUGGUAAUGAGGACGGAGCCCGGGGUGGCCUUGGACUUGACAUUCACCUCUUCAAGAUAACCUCGGAACGAGUCAAUGACUGUUGGGUUCAAAAGAUGCUGAUCUCUUUUGUGGGUUUCGAGCAGAGUGAGUACGAGGGAGUGGCGGAAUUGUUCUAGCCUGAACUUGGUGCACUGCCUUAUUAAGGUUAUCUUCAUGUUAGACUGGUCACGGACUUGGUGGUAAAGGUGGUUUUGGUAGGUAGCAACGAGGAAGAUAGGCCAAUUUGGUUCUUUAGAAGAUAAUGCAAGCCUUUUCUUACACAAUUUUCACUGCGAGUAUUUAUAUGUAUCAGGUUAUUCUAAUGUAUGCCGUAAGGUUCAGGAUAAGAGGUGAAUUAGGUGUUGCUUUGUUACCAAAUAUAUAAAUUUUUUGUAAAA